UACAGAGGUCUCAAGCGUUGUUCGGAUUCAUUGGGCGUAAAGGGUGCGUAGGCGGCGGGGUAAGUCAGGUGUGAAAUCCCGGAGCUCAACUCCGGAACUGCACUUGAUACUGCCUUGCUAGUGUACUGGAGAGGGAACUGGAAUUUACGGUGUAGCAGUGAAAUGCGUAGAUAUCGUAAGGAAGACCAGUGGCGAAGGCGAGUUCCUGGACAGUUACUGACGCUGAGGCACGAAGGCCAGGGGAGCAAACGGG
rnacentral:rRNA from 1 species